rnacentral:snoRNA from 1 species
ACUCAGUUACAAAAACAAAAAGGGGUCCCACUGCUCAAAAUAAAGUUGUUUCUUAACUAUACCUGUCUGCUAGAUUCCUGUAGCAGCCAGGGACGCUUGGUCUCAUACAU